CCAAUAGCGUAUAUUAAAGUUGUUGCAGUUAAAAAGCUCGUAGUUGAAUUUUAGGCCUGACCGGGCGGUCCGUCUUUGGCGAGUACUGUCCUGUGUCGGGUCCACCUUCUGGUGAACCAGUAUGUCCUUUAUUGGGUGUGCCGGGGAGCCAGGACCAUUACCUUGAAAAAAUUAGAGUGUUUAAAGCAGGCAUUUGCUUGAAUAGAUUAGCAUGGAAUAAUAGAAUAGGACGUUGUGGUUCUAUUUUGUUGGUUUCUAGGACCACCGUAAUGAUUAAUAGGGAUAGUUGGGAGCAUUAGUAUUCAAUUGUCAGAGAUAAAAUUCUUGGAUUUAUUGAAGACUAACUAUUGCGAAAGCAUUUGCCAAGGAUGUUUUCAUUAAUCAAGAACGAAAGUUAGAGGAUCGAAGACGAUCAGAUACCGUCGUAGUCUUAACCAUAAACUAUGCCGACUAGGAAUCGGGCGACGUUAUUUUCAUGACUCGCUCGGCGCCUUAUG
rnacentral:rRNA from 1 species